rnacentral:tmRNA from 1 species
GGGGCCGACCUGGUUUCGACGUGGGUGCGGAGGCGGGAUAGUGCAUGUCGAGGACCAGCCACCUCGUAAAUCCAUCUGGAAACAAACUAACUGCCAACGACGAAUCGUUCGCACUCGCCGCUUAAUACCGGCGUGCCUCUCAACAGCUCGCCUGUGGGCUGUGUCUGAGUCGCAAGACAAAGACUGAGAGGUCAUUCACACAGGCUGGGUCGGUGCCGGGUCGCUCGGUACAGGCCAAGAUCAAGCGACUGGCGUCGUCCUCAGCGUGCUGCUGCGCGGUGGAUGGCGUGAGAACCAAAUCAGACAGCUAAACAUGUAGAUCUACUUGCUGAUGGCUUACGGACGGGGGUUCAAUUCCCCCCGGCUCCACCA